UAGACCGUCGUGAGACAGGU
rnacentral:ncRNA from 2 species